UUAUUACCAUGUCAAGAGCAAAAUACCAUGAUUGUGAUAGUGGUUUUCCCAGAGCAAGGCUCUUCCAUUAUACUCUGGUGUGCUGACCCCCUCCAAUUUCCUGUACUGCGGGAAACACAGUUGCAUAGUUUAUGGGAAUGGGGGACUGUGUUCACUAACCUGAA
ensembl:snRNA U1 U1 spliceosomal RNA